UACGUAGGAUGCAAGCGUUGUCCGGAUUUACUGGGCGUAAAGCGCGCGCAGGCGGCACUCUAAGUACGCUGUGAAAUAUCCCGGCUCAACCGGGAGGGUGCAGUGUAGACUAGGGAGCUAGAGGUCGGUAGAGGGGGGUGGAAUUGCUGGUGUAGCGGUGAAAUGCGUAGAGAUCAGCAGGAACACCCGUGGCGAAGGCGGCCCCCUGGGCCGUACCUGACGCUGAGGCGCGAAAGCGUGGGGAGCGAACAGG
rnacentral:rRNA from 1 species